rnacentral:piRNA from 1 species
UGUGACGGAGAUCAUGCGGUGCCGGACACAA